AGCUGAUCUUGAGAGAGCUUGGCAGUAGCACCGUUAAAGCUUUAACGCAAAAGCUUUUACACAAGCUUUCAAAGUGAAACUAUUUUGACGGCAAACUUCAUAAACAUUAAGCUAAAUGUUACGAUCCAAAUGAGACAUGCUGCCCGAACGAACGAAACUCAACUUUCGGCCAAGUUAAGAAAGGAUAACUGAGUCGACGGCCAUAAAAAUUCGAAACAGAAGCCAGAUCUUAUGUGCAGAGCGUAUUUGGAAAGGGGGUGGCCAUAGGUAGGGAGCACACAAGUGCAUGGAACGCCGAAACAAGCCAAGAGAAUGACUUGGCCAGGCCAAAAAGGAAUUGGCUUGGCCCCGAAACAGAGUCAACAACUGUGCGCCACACAAGAGUUUGCCAAAAAGAUUGCACUACACCAAGGAGCAAAAACAAAAAAAAAACAAAAAAAACUAGAGAGAAAUCGCAUAAAACUCUAUAAAGGACACAGAGGACCGAAAAGGACAACAACCUGACUGGCAGGGCAAACGAAACCAAUUGAAGAAAUGUUGCUGACACCAAAAACGAAACUGCAGGAAGACGCCGAUGAUGAGGAUGAGCCAGGGAAUGAGGCUAAGCCCGAGGAUGCCGAGCGCAUCCUUGGGCCAGUGAUGUGGAGCAGAAGCGUUCCAGGACUCGUUGCUGGCUUACAACACCUGCGGGAAAGGAAGCGGACCUCUUGCCACCCCUUCUGCCCGCUCCGCUCCAAUUGACCCGAACCAGAGAUGGCCAAAAAGCAUCGAUUAGGUGAAGGACUAGAAACUAACUAUUACCCAUCUAAGGGUUUUACAUUUCAAACAUUUUUUAGAGAAUUGGCCAGCAUUUAAUAUGAAAGCAAGUAUAGAUUUUCUCAAGAAGAACCACUGUUAUAUAGGGCUAGUGCCGCACUUGCAAAAUCGCUAGCUCAGCUUCAACAGAAGUAGUGAAGCAAGUUCUGAGCGGCAGGCGGCAGCAAUUAAAUAGCUUCGAGCACUCCGAACUCAAUUGCAGCAAUUUCAAUAACCGUUGAGGACACUCAAAGGACGGCAAGGUCCUUGCGAUAAUCUGUCAUGCAGCGAGGAAGCCCAGACACCCACACACCCACAACACACAGGACGAGUGCUCAGCACCCCACUUUCCAUUCACACCCAAGGACAACUGGAAUAUCCGCUUUGGGUCUGGACCCUUGAGGAACUUUCUCGCACUCACCUAUUUCACUUGCUGCUGGAAUUUGUUAUAUUUCUCCUUUUUUCCUCUUAACACUUGUAGAAUUUGUAGCCGAAAGCUGAGAACCGGGCUAUUCCAUUUGUAGUCUUUGUAUAUUUUUUUGUAGAUUUUCUUAUUUUCUAUUAUUGAUAAAAGCAUGGGAAGAUUGACGCGGUACGGCCGAAAGUUUAACACAUUGAGAAUUUUGCCACCAAGAAGCCGAAAAAUUGAUGAACUUUUAUAAAAUUAUAUGUACGCUACACAAUCUGAUUUGGAAACACUACAACUAAAAAUCUAUAUUGAAACGAUUUGACAAGCUGUCAGGGCGGCCAACUGAGAUAAGAAAAUUCUCUCUGUUUUUAAUCUUUAUAAACAUUGCUAAAAAUUCCAAAAAUAUUCCUAAUUGCGAAACAUGAAACAAAGUUUGAAAUGAAAUGCCAUUGAUUGCUAUCGCUGAUUCAUAUCAGUUGCUCACAGUUCACGAAAUCGAACGUUUGACAUUAGCAAUAAAUGAAUCAACAAAUAUAAAAGUUUUGCCAAGAAAGUAAUUUGCUAAAAUUGGCGAGUCGAAAAGAAAGUCAAGAGGGUGAGCAAGAAAUACCCCAAAGAAAUUCAAUGAGGCUGAAAAUUUCCUGGCUCGAUGCCAAUUGAUGCC